rnacentral:lncRNA from 1 species
GGAGGGUCGUUAUUAUCGCUGCUGGACGGCGAUACUUAUGAACCAAAUUCACAGGAGGUUCACAGUUCUUCACCUCUGGAGCAGUCUACAAUGAGAGGCUGAAAAUGACUUUGAGAUGACUGGUGAGAAGCAAAUAAAGAAUACAUAUGGAACACAACUGAUCAACAUAUUGAAGUUCCUGACAUCAUACAGAAUGCAGAAGAGAAAGUAUAUAGCGAAAAGCCCUUGAAUAACUUAAAAUUUUGUUCAUACAACUAAACACUCUAAAAUAUUAUGUAGUAUCAGGAAAAGAAAGUGUCAUGACCAACUUUCGUCUGGAAUUGAAAGAAGGGAACUGGGUAGAAACCAGACUUCUCAGUAUCUAUUUCUGUAUUGACUUCACUCUUAGUCACUGGCUGUUUGAACUAUGUUUAUAAGGAAGGAUGAAUCCACUGUAUCAGUGUCCCAGAAUUCAUUGUUUAUGCCCCACACCUAGUACUCCAUGGAAUAUGUGCCCUCCAUUAUACCCAACAUCAGGUUCAUCCAAGGGAGUAUAAUUUAGCACAACUUCUUUCAAGAGCAUUCUGCAAUACAUAGGAAUGGAAAGUUCAUAUGCUAUAAAGUCAGAUGUUUGUAUUCUGAAU